rnacentral:rRNA from 1 species
UACAGAGGUCUCAAGCGUUGUUCGGAUUCAUUGGGCGUAAAGGGUGCGUAGGUGGCGAGGCAAGUCAGGUGUGAAAUCCCAGGGCUCAACCCUGGAACUGCACUUGAUACUACUUUGCUUGAGUACUGGAGAGGAGAUUGGAAUUUACGGUGUAGCAGCGAAAUGCGUAGAUAUCGUAAGGAAGACCAGUGGCGAAGGCGAAUCUCUGGACAGUUACUGACACUGAGGCACGAAGGCCAGGGGAGCAAACGGG